CGUUGAGUUUCGGUAUUUGUCAGUUACAAUACCAAACAUUGUUUUCAAGAUUGGACUAGUUUACAAAAACACGAAUGGAAUCUGAAAAUAUUACGGAGCAAUACGCAGUUAUAGUGGCGGUCGCUCUUCAUACAUUCGUGUGUAUGUAUGGAUUCGGGCUAGUCGGUCACUUUAAAAACAAUGAAUCAGAUCGUGAAUUACGAGAGAGCACUCCGGUAAAAACAUUGUUUCAUUAAAUAACUCGCAACUUUCCUGCCUUCUAGACCCCCAUGACAGGAUUCAAAAUAAACUAGAAUGAUGCAUCUUCAAUGAACACCGGAUCUACGAAUGAAAUAGAGAGAGAGAGAGAGCAGAAUCAUAGCUGAGCACAGUCCCGGUGAUGCUUCAAUAGAUGCUGAUUUAACCACUACCGAGAUCAUGUCGGAGGUGAUACAUGAUGAGAACAGUACGGCACUACUGCGAGAAUUUAACAAACAUUCAAACUCGCUAGCGAUAAAAUGUUCAACAUGAAUGUUCUUUAUUACACUAGAAUUAUUUGUUUUCAAUUUCA